UUACGGUCAAAUCACGUUGAAAACACCGGUUCUCGUUCGAUCACCGAAGUUAAGCAUCGUAGAGCCAGGUCAGUACUUAGAUGGGGGACCGCUUGGGAACACCUGGUACU